rnacentral:rRNA from 1 species
UACGUAGGGUGCGAGCGUUGUCCGGAAUUAUUGGGCGUAAAGGGCUCGUAGGCGGUUUGUCGCGUCGGGAGUGAAAACCUCGGGCUUAACUCGGGGCUUGCUUUCGAUACGGGCAGACUGGAGGUAUGCAGGGGAGAACGGAAUUCCUGGUGUAGCGGUGAAAUGCGCAGAUAUCAGGAGGAACACCGGUGGCGAAGGCGGUUCUCUGGGCAUUACCUGACGCUGAGGAGCGAAAGUGUGGGGAGCAAACAGG